UGGGGAAUAUUGCACAAUGGGCGGAAGCCUGAUGCAGCGACGCCGCGUGGGGGAUGAAGGCCUUCGGGUUGUAAACUCCUUUCGACAGGGACGAAGCUUUUGUGACGGUACCUAUAUAAGAAGCACCGGCUAACUACGUGCCAGCAGCCGCGGUAAUACGUAGGGUGCGAGCGUUGUCCGGAAUUACUGGGCGUAAAGAGCUCGUAGGUGGUUUGUCGCGUCGUCUGUGAAAUUCCGGGGCUUAACUCCGGGCGUGCAGGCGAUACGGGCUGACUUGAGUGCUGUAGGGGAGACUGGAAUUCCUGGUGUAGCGGUGAAAUGCGCAGAUAUCAGGAGGAACACCGAUGGCGAAGGCAGGUCUCUGGGCAGUAACUGACGCUGAGGAGCGAAAGCAUGGGUAGCGAACAGG
rnacentral:rRNA from 1 species